rnacentral:rRNA from 1 species
AUUGAACGCUGGCGGCAGGCCUAACACAUGCAAGUCGAGCGGAUGAAGGGAGCUUGCUCCUGGAUUCAGCGGCGGACGGGUGAGUAAUGCCUAGGAAUCUGCCUGGCAGUGGGGGAUAACGUCCGGAAACGGGCGCUAAUACCGCAUACGUCCUGAGGGAGAAAGGGGGGGAGCUUCGGACCUCACGCUAUCAGAUGGGCCUAGGUCGGAUUAGCUAGUUGGUGGGGUAAAGGCCUACCAAGGCGACGAUCCGUAACUGGUCUGAGAGGAUGAUCAGUCACACUGGAACUGAGACACGGUCCAGACUCCUACGGGAGGCAGCAGUGGGGAAUAUUGGACAAUGGGCGCAAGCCUGAUCCAGCCAUGCCGCGUGUGUGAAGAAGGUCUUCGGAUUGUAAAGCACUUUUAGUUGGGAGGAAGGGCAGUAAGUUAAUACCUUGCUGUUUUGACGUUACCCACAGAAUAAGCACCGGCUAACUUCGUG